rnacentral:lncRNA from 1 species
CAAAAUUGGCAGAUAAUUCUUUUUCCUUCUUUUGGUUUUCCCGUUGAAGUACACGUGUUUCAGGACUCUAAAAAUACUAGCAUACUUAGCAGAAAAGCAUUAAUCACAAAGUACAGUCGAUCAUACUUCUGUAGCCUCAUCCCAUACUCUAAUUUAGCUUCCGAAUAGAUUAACUUCAGUAUCAAACCUUAGUCACUAGAGACUUAAAGAAGGUACAAAAGCAUAUAUUUAUCAAGGAAAUCUAAUUAAACAUACCUGAUGAUAGUUUAG